GCCGACCCCGGACCAAAAGUAGCGCUGCAGCCGACCGAACCGCGUCCUCCCGCCCCGUCCUCCCCUCCCCCACGCCGGGACGGCCUCCCGGGGGAGGCCCCGAGGAAAAAAAUCCAGGCUCGAACUCCGCCCCCUGCCGGCCGCCAGCAGGAGUGAAGCGCCACAAUCCAACAAUGAAAUGGAACCGGGGAGGGGCGGCGGGAAGGUUAUAGUGCCAUCAUGUGGAUACUUUGUUUUCUUCAAAUAAAAUGUAACCUUUUUAUAACAGAGACUAGAAAACCCAGCCAUCCCAACACCCAGGCUGUGCAAAGAAAUUGGGGCCAAACGUUUUUUUGCCAUGUUCUGAAAAGGAUAGAGGCACUCUCCAUUCCUGAUUGUUCCAAGGCUCAAGUGGUCAGAAAUGACUGGGAAGAAGGGAGAAAAACUCAGGUGGCAAAGGACAUGGACGAAAACCCAUGGCGACAUGGAAAGAAAACCCUGUGAUAUAGAGAGGAAAAGCACAGGACAGCUUAUUGGGGAGAAUGGAACUCUUCUGUAUCCUGAUUGCGGUGAUGGCCACGCAUGGCUUAGAGACGGGCUUUCACCACGUUGACUAAGCUAGUCUUGAACUCGUGACCUCAGGUGAUCCACCUGCCUCAGCCUCGCUAAGUCUAACUUUCAACCAGAAUUGUCUAGGAGAGGCAAAGAUAUAACCUGUUCAUCUGGUACCACUAUCACCCACAGAAUAUGAUAUGAGUUCUGAGCUUUUCCGAUUAAAGACCUUGUACUUUU
rnacentral:lncRNA from 1 species